rnacentral:rRNA from 1 species
AGUGAACGCUGGCGGUAGGCCUAACACAUGCAAGUCGAACGGCAGCACAGUAAGAGCUUGCUCUUACGGGUGGCGAGUGGCGGACGGGUGAUGAAUACAUCGGAAUCUACUUUUUCGUGGGGGAUGAAGUCGGGAAACUUACGCUAAUACCGCAUAGGACCUACGGGUGAAAGCAGGGGAUCUUCGGACCUUGCGCGAUUCAAUGAGCCGAUGUCGGAUUAGCUAGUUGGCGGGGUAACGGCCCACCAAGGCGACGAUCCGUAGCUGGUCUGAGAGGAUGAUCAGCCACACUGGAACUGAGACACGGUCCAGACUCCUACGGGAGGCAGCAGUGGGGAAUAUUGGACAAUGGGCGCAAGCCUGAUCCAGCCAUGCCGCGUGGGUGAAGAAGGCCUUCGGGUUGUAAAGCCCUUUUGUUGGGAAAGAAAAGCAGCAGGUUAAUACCCCGCUGUUCUGACGGUACCCACAGAAUAAGCACCGGCUAACUUCGUG